UGGGGAAUUUUGGACAAUGGACGCAAGUCUGAUCCAGCCAUGCCGCGUGCGGGAAGAAGGCCUUCGGGUUGUAAACCGCUUUUGUCAGGGAAGAAACGAGUUUCUCUAAUACAGAGACUUAAUGACGGUACCUGAAGAAGAAGCCCCGGCCAACUUCGUGCCAGCAGCCGCGGUAAUACGAAGGGGGCUAGCGUUGUUCGGAAUUACUGGGCGUAAAGCGUGCGCAGGCGGUUUAGUAAGACAGGCGUGAAAUCCCCGGGCUCAACCUGGGAACUGCCUUUGUGACUGCAUAGCUAGAGUACGGUAGAGGGGGAUGGAAUUCCGCGUGUAGCAGUGAAAUGCGUAGAUAUGCGGAGGAACACCGAUGGCGAAGGCAAUCCCCUGGACCUGUACUGACGCUCAUGCACGAAAGCGUGGGGAGCAAACA
rnacentral:rRNA from 1 species